rnacentral:tRNA from 1 species
GAAGGGAUAGCUCAGAGGUAAAGUGUGUGCUUAAUACGCACGAGGUCCUGGAUUCAAUUCCCAGUACCGCCA